CUACGGGGUGCAGCAGGCGCGAAAACUUUACAAUGCCGGCAACGGCGAUAAGGGGACCUCGAGUGCCAGGUUACAAAUCUGGCUGUCGUGAUGCCUAAAAAGCAUUGCAUAGCAAGGGCCGGGCAAGACCGGUGCCAGCCGCCGCGGUAACACCGGCGGCUCGAGUGGUAACCGUUAUUAUUGGGUCUAAAGGGUCUGUAGCCGGCCGGAUAAGUCUCUUGAGAAAUCCAGCAGCUCAACUGUUGGGCUUUCAGGAGAUACUGUUCGGCUCGAGGCCGGGAGAGGUGAGAGGUACUUCAGGGGUAGGGGUGAAAUCUUGUAAUCCUUGAAGGACCACCAGUGGCGAAGGCGUCUCACCAGAACGGACCUGACGGCAAGGGACGAAAGCUAGGGGCACGAACCGGAUUAGAUACCCGGGUAGUCCUAGCCGUAAACGAUACUCGCUAGGUGUCGGCCACGGUGCGACCGUUGUCGGUGCCGUAGGGAAGCCGUGAAGCGAG
rnacentral:rRNA from 1 species